UGGGGAAUAUUGCACAAUGGGCGCAAGCCUGAUGCAGCCAUGCCGCGUGUGUGAAGAAGGCCUUCGGGUUGUAAAGCACUUUCAGCGGGGAGGAAGGCGAUAAGGUUAAUAACCUUGUCGAUUGACGUUACCCGCAGAAGAAGCACCGGCUAACUCCGUGCCAGCAGCCGCGGUAAUACGGAGGGUGCAAGCGUUAAUCGGAAUUACUGGGCGUAAAGCGCACGCAGGCGGUUUGUUAAGUCAGAUGUGAAAUCCUCGGGCUCAACCUGGGAAGUGCAUCUGAUACUGGCAAGCUUGAGUCUCGUAGAGGGGGGUAGAAUUCCAGGUGUAGCGGUGGAAUGCGUAGAGAGCUGGAGGAAUACCGGUGGCGGAGGCGGCCCCCUGGACAAAGACUGACGCUCAGGUGCGAGAGAGUGGGGAGCAAACAGG
rnacentral:rRNA from 1 species